rnacentral:rRNA from 1 species
CGGUUUAUUAAGUCUCUGGUGAAAUCCCGUAGCUUAACUAUGGGAAUUGCUGGAGAUACUAGUAGACUUGAGGUCGGGAGAGGUUAGAGGUACUCCCAGGGUAGGGGUGAAAUCCUGUAAUCCUGGGAGGACCACCUGUGGCGAAGGCGUCUAACUGGAACGAACCUGACGGUGAGGGACGAAAGCUAGGGGCGCGAACCGGAUUAGAUACCCGGGUAGUCCUAGCCGUAAACGAUGCGGACUUGGUGUUAGGAUGGCUUUGAGCCGCUCUAGUGCCGAAGGGAAGCUGUUAAGUCCGCCGCCUGGGAA